rnacentral:tRNA from 1 species
AUUUGGGUGGCUGAGUGGUUUAAAGCGUCGAUCUGCUAAGUCGAUAUAUUCGUAUGGAUAUCGUGGGUUCGAAUCCCACCCCAAAGG